AUGCAACGCGAAGAACCUACCUGGUCUUGACAUCCCGGAGACCCUUAGGAACUAGGGGGUGGCUUCCAUCUGGAAGAAUCUGGAGACAGGUGCUGCAUGGCUGUCGUCAGCUCGUGUCGUGAGAUGUUGGGUUAAGUCCCGCAACGAGCGCAACCCUUGCCUUUAGUUGCCAGCAGUUCGGCUGGGCACUCUAAAGGGACUGCCGGUGUUAAACCGGAGGAAGGUGGGGAUGACGUCAAGUCCUCAUGGCCUUUAUGACCAGGGCUACACACGUACUACAAUGGCCGAUACAAAGGGCAGCGACACUGCGAGGUGAAGCCAAUCCCGUAAAAUCGGUCUCAGUCCGGAUUGGAGUCUGCAACUCGACUCCAUGAAGUUGGAAUCGCUAGUAAUCGUGGAUCAGCAUGCCACGGUGAAUACGUUCCCGGGCCUU
rnacentral:rRNA from 1 species